ensembl:lncRNA
UUCCUUCUUUUUUCUUUCUUUUACACCAUUUUGAUAAUAAGAGGCAGGUGACCCAGCAGCAAAAAAAACUGCCCAUCAAUGAGGACAGCUCAUGGGAGGCUUUCUCCCCCUAAAUGCCCAGAGGAAGAAGCCUAUGCUUCUGCAAAGGGGGAGUUGCACCCAAACCACAGGGAGCUGUCCUGGGCCUCCCAAAAUGCUGCCCAGCCUGCCCUUAGCAUCCGCCUGCUGUUUUUGGGCUGCAUUUGCAGAGCAGGGCCUUGCACAGAGAGCCUGAGCUGCGUGCAGGCCCAGUGGGUCUUGCCGCUGUGAGCAAUGGUGCAGCCUGGUGUAAGAACAGCCGAUCCCAGAGGCCAGCCUGCCAGGGGGAACAAAGAGAUGGUUAUAGGUUUGGGGAGAAAAAAAUAAGGAAAUGAAAAAGAAAAGAGAACAAAGGGCCAUUGACAAGAGGCACAAAUAAGCUAGGUCUUAAGUGUCAUUCCCCAUCUGAUAAAACAAAAAUGUCCAGAGCAACGAUCAAGAAAAAAAAACCCCACGCAGGAUUAAAUAUCUGUUUGGCUCUUUGCACAGACUGUACACAGAGCUCUUUUUCCUUUCGUGCUCUCAGUUCUCUUUCUUCUCGAUUAAUGUGGAGCUGGCCACAGGCUCACGUGUGGAUGGUGCGGGCCCGCAGUUCGGGAGCUGCCUUUGUGGAGUCCGCACUUCCAGGAGCCUGGAGCAAAACCAAACAGCAACGUGGGCGCGAAGGAAAGGGGAAGGGAGCAGGGAUGUGCUGGUGCUUCUUGACAGUUUCUCUUCCAACCACACUUUUGGAAAACAGUUGAAGGACUGCCAAGCUCGGUGGCACUGCGGUGGUUUCCAUUGGUGACAGAAAGAAAGCUAGGUAAGCUUACAAUGCACUUCAGGACUCUUCCUCUCUAACCAUAGCAUUUGUUUGCGUGGAAGUGGGUAUACCUGCUCGAUAUUCCUUUCUCCGUGCACUUCCCCGACCUCCUCUUCUCACCAUGCAGAGCAGCAGUGUGUCCCCUGGACUGCAGGAUACGGUGUCCACCUGGGAACCCGCCUGGGGAAACAGGAAUUUGGAGGUGAAUAAGUAAAAAUGUGGGGUGUUUCGUUUUCGUCUUCUUUUUUUUAAUAUAUAUAAAACAGGGAAUGCUGCAAGCCUACGUGUGGUUUACUUCAGUGUUAACCCAAGGGUAAACAUCCUCACACUCAAGGCCCAUCUCCCCUGACUGGAGCUCCCCAUUGAAAGAUCCAUGCUUCUGUAUAACGUGUUCUUCAAAAGCCAAAUGGCAAUAAGAAGUUGUCCUACUUAAGCAAGGCACCUAUUUCACUUCUUCCAGCGCGCCCAUAAGAAAAUGGCAGUGCUAAAUGCACUUUGGGAUCAAAGCCCCAUUAAGCAGAACAGAUUCGAUGCACCAAACUGACGGGCUUCUUGCAGAUUUGUUGCUAUGGUGCUAUUGCCUUGAGAAAUUAAAAUAUCCCUCAUCAGCCUCCGUGGGAGCCUACCGGGCAAAGUAACCACCACAAAUUAAUAGAACAUUGUUUUGGCCGCGGUCACCGAGCAGUUAAUUUGCUUUAAGCUUCAAUCAUCCUUAACUUCACGUUUGGCUGUUAACCCACGGACUGAUCAUUAACUGCAUUUAAUGAAUGACUGAUUUCUAAAGGAUUGUUCCAAAGCAAGUUGUUUUUUCCAUUUGUUGCUGAAUGACUCUAAUAUCUCCCAACCAGCACACGGGCGACCUAUUGAUUCCCCCAUAAGAAUCUGAGGCGAAGCAGGGAGGUACUUGCAGGUUAUCUGCCUAUUAGCAGGCUGCUCAGAGCUGAUAAACUUGCCGGGGCUGCAUCCCGCUUUCCAAUUUCACUCAAGCCUUCCAAAGAGGCAGGAGUAACCUGGCUGGGUUGUUGUGGGUCUCAGCUGGAGGUCUUUAAUCAACAUUCCCAGUGAAACCAGCAGGAGUUUGGUUGGCCUGAAACCCAAAUGGGAUUUUGCUGGUAUUUACCUCAGUGCUUGUCCCUUUCAUAGCAGCACAGCUGGUUACGGAUGAAUGUGAUAUUGCUGCAGAAAUGAUCAAAUCUCAGUUGGACUUAUUAUUUUUUUUCUCCCCCCGGGUUUUAAAAUACCUACAGCUGAAAUGUGGCCGCUCGUUUAGGCUGUUUAGAGGCAUCGCUAAUGAAUGAAAGGAGCAAUUUUGUUUUGUUUUGUUUUAUGUAAACAAACCCUUCUGACUCACAGUCCCUACGGUCAGCCACGAGACCAUCCUCCUCUCCCGUCUUAAGGUCCGUAAGGCCCAAGAAGCUGACUCUGACUCACUGAGGAGGGGUGGGGACUGAGCUGUCUCUACAGGAUGAGCCUUUCGUCUGUACAGCACAUACAGAAGUAAAAUGGGAGAAAGCCUCCACUGCACAGGCCCUGAUUUCUCUUUGGGUAUCGCUGGGCUUUGGUUGCUCCCUUUGCUACAAGAAGGGCUUAAGUUCAUAUAUGUAACUGUCUGUUUGAACACCCCUGCACUGAUAGGCGCGGGCAUCGGGAAAUGUGCGUUUAG